rnacentral:rRNA from 1 species
UUUCACCUACGGGAGGCAGCAGUGGGGAAUCUUGCGCAAUGGGCGGAAGCCUGACGCAGCGACGCCGCGUGCGGGACGAGGGCCUUCGGGUCGUAAACCGCUUUCAGCAGGGACGAGGCCCUCGCGGUGACGGUACCUGCAGAAGAAGCCCCGGCUAACUACGUGCCAGCAGCCGCGGUAAUACGUAGGGGGCGAGCGUUAUCCGGAUUCAUUGGGCGUAAAGCGCGCGUAGGCGGCCUGUUAGGUCGGGGGUCAAAUACCGGGGCUCAACCCCGGUCCGCCCCCGAAACCGGCAG